rnacentral:rRNA from 1 species
AUGAACGCUGGCGGCGUGCCUUAUACAUGCAAGUUGAGCGAACGGACGAGAAGCUUGCUUUUCUGAUGUUAGCGGCGGACGGGUGAGUAACACGUGGAUAACCUACCUAUAAGACUGGGAUAACUUCGGGAAACCGGAGCCAAUACCGGACAAUAUUUUGAACCGCAUGGUUCAAAAGUGAAAGACGGUCUUGCUGUCACUUAUAGAUGGAUCCGCGCUGCAUUAGCUAGUUGGUAAGGUAACGGCUUACCAAGGCAACGAUGCGUAGCCGACCUGAGAGGGUGAUCGGCCACACUGGAACUGAGACACGGUCCAGACUCCUACGGGAGGCAGCAGUAGGGAAUCUUCCGCAAUGGGCGAAAGCCUGACGGAGCAACGCCGCGUGAGUGAUGAAGGUCUUCGGAUCGUAAAACUCUGUUAUUAGGGAAGAACAUAUGUGUAAGUAACUGUGCACAUCUUGACGGUACCUAAUCAGAAAGCCACGGCUAACUACGUG